rnacentral:tRNA from 1 species
AUUUAAAUAGCUUAUAUAUUAAUAAAGUAUAAUAUUGAAGAUAUUAUGAAAAUAAAUUUUUAUUUUUAAAUA